GACGAACGCUGGCGGCGUGCUUAACACAUGCAAGUCGAGCGGUAAGGCCCCUUCGGGGGUACACGAGCGGCGAACGGGUGAGUAACACGUGAGCAAUCUGCCCAUCACAUCGGGAUAACUCCGGGAAACCGAAGCUAAUACCGAAUACGACCACCUCCGGCAUCGGCUGGUGGUGGAAAGUUCCGGCGGUGAUGGAUGAGCUCGCGGCCUAUCAGCUUGUUGGUGGGGUAACGGCCCACCAAGGCUUCGACGGGUAGCCGGCCUGAGAGGGUGACCGGCCACACUGGGACUGAGACACGGCCCAGACUCCUACGGGAGGCAGCAGUGGGGAAUAUUGGACAAUGGGCGAAAGCCUGAUCCAGCAACGCCGCGUGAGGGAUGACGGCCUUCGGGUUGUAAACCUCUUUCAGCAGGGACGAAGCGCAAGUGACGGUACCUGCAGAAGAAGCACCGGCCAACUACGUG
rnacentral:rRNA from 1 species